rnacentral:rRNA from 1 species
AAUGAACGCUGGCGGUAUGCCUAACACAUGCAAGUCGAGCGAACAGAUAAUAAGAUUGUGCCUUUACGGGUGGCGGCUGACGGAUGAGUAACACAUAGGUCAGCAACUUAUAUUUCUUGGGUGACAACGGAAGACCGCUUCUGAUACUGGAUCAUAUUUCGUACGGGUUGAAUCUAAAGAUAUUGAUACCUUGCCUGUCACUAUUAGAUGGACCCGCGUCGUAUUAGCUAGUUGGUAAGGUAACGGCUCACCAAGGCGACGAUACGUAGCUGAUCUGAGAGGAUGAUCGGCCACACUGGAACUGAGACACGGUCCAGACUCCUACGGGAGGCAGCAGUAGGGAAUAUUGCGCAAUGGGCGCAAGCCUGAUGCAGCAAUACCGCGUGAGUGAUGAAGGCCUUCGGAUCGUAAAGCUCUGUUGUUAGGAAAGAAAAACAGUGUGAGUAUCCGCCGCUGUUUUGACGGUACCCAAUGAGAAAGCACCGGCUAACUUCGUG